AAUCUUGGACAAUGGGGGGCAACCCUGAUCCAGCCAUGCCGCGUGAGUGAUGAAGGCCUUAGGGUCGUAAAGCUCUUUCGCCUGUGAUGAUAAUGACAGUAGCAGGUAAAGAAACCCCGGCUAAACUCCGUGCCAGCAGCCGCGGUAAUACGGAGGGGUUAGCGUUGUUCGGAAUUACUGGGCGUAAAGCGCGCGUAGGCGGAUUAGUCAGUUAGAGGUGAAAUCCCAGGGCUCAACCCUGGAACUGCCUUUAAUACUGCUAGUCUUGAGUUCGAGAGAGGUGAGUGGAAUUCCGAGUGUAGAGGUGAAAUUCGUAGAUAUUCGGAGGAACACCAGUGGCGAAGGCGGCUCACUGGCUCGAUACUGACGCUGAGGUGCGAAAGUGUGGGGAGCAAACAGGAUUAGAUACCCUGGUAG
rnacentral:rRNA from 1 species